CUCUCUCAGAGAUCUGAAGAAGAAAAAAAUAUCCCACCAUUGAAACUCUCUGUUUCACUCCACAGCUACAAUCUUGAGCACAGCCCCACGUCACUAUACCACCCUACCUUCUUCUACUUGAUCUUAUGUUUAAACUCUACAGCUGAAAACAGAAAGUCGCAGGGACAACUUGGACAUUUCCAAGUGUCCGGACCAAACAUUUUGUGUUAUAUUAUACUAGAUUUUAUCAUUUUCAUCAGCAAAAUCAGUGUUUCUCACUUUGUUUAACUCUUCAUCUCUGUUAAAUUUGAGUUUAACUUUUACCUCUGUUUCAUGUCAGAGAUUUGAAAGAAGUCUUUAACCCAUGAUCCCUUCAGCAGCAACUAUAAAUUAUUAGGCUAAUGUGAGGUAAUGAACUCUCAAAUUGAGAUACAGGGAACAACCAAAAUCAUUUGAUUAGUAUUGUUUGUAAUCGUUUUUGAAUCAUGGGUUUUCAGUAAGCUGUAGGUUCUUUAGUUAAUUGAUCAUGUUCGGGUCUUGGGUCCUCAAAAAGUUUAAUUUCAAUUGAUAUUCGAUCAAUUUUAGAUCAUGGUUUCCUAUUUUUCUUAUGAAUCUUCUCACAAGUUGUCAAGGAUUAGUCUUUUUAUUUUUUGAUAUAUACUGAUUGGUUUGAAGUUAAGGUUCUAGGUUUCCUUAUGGUUGGUGGAAGCUGGAGGAUCGACAGAAGAUGAGCAAAAAAGGAGCCAAAAGGAACUCUAAUUUAGAGUUCACCACCUAAUUUUGAGGUGUUUGUGGCUGAAGGAAACAUUAGAUUCUUUCAAUAUAUUCAAUGAGUGGAUCUGUUGGAAGGGAACACUAAUGGGUGUAUGGCCGUAUGCAGGUUUAUGAGAUUUUUUGAUCCUUAUUUUUUGAGCAGGAUGCUAAUUUCUAAUAUUCUUUUCAACUUUAUUGUAGCAAAUAUACGGACGGGGGGACAAAGUUUUUGGCGCAUAUUCAUAACCUUGUUCUGAAAUUACAUUCUCUUGGCGAGAGAUUAAGAAUAGCGAUUGAUAGCAUCAUUGUUUUCGAGUUCUUGGAUACACUUUCUUAUCAUCAUACAUUCAUAUUAUCAUCUAAACUAAUAUGUUCUGAAAUUACAUUCUUUUUCACAAGGAGUGUUUACCACAACUGCUUUGGCUUUGUCGAAUUUGAACAGUUGAGUUCCAUGCAAAAUGCAGUGAAGAUAUGAACUCUGCGAAGCUUCAUUACUUUCAUUGAAGAUGAUUCUUUCCUUUGUGUUUUUUGAACAUUAGUUUCACCAAUAAAACUAAAUCAUGGUCACCAAUUAUUUGUUAUGAACAUGCACUUGAGGCCUGUAAAUUAGAGUGGGACCCCUAACUGUAUGCUCUUCUUUGGAUGGUUGAUUCCUAUGCCGGAAUAACAAUACUUAUCUUUUUUUACUAGUCAAUUCAUUGGUACUUAAUAUAAGUCCGUGGAACUAGCUCUCUUAGCACAGAUGAUUGCUCAUGGUCCACUUUUAUGCUGUACAUGUUAGAUUGCCUUAAAAAGUACAUCAUGACUCUAUGUCUUUUAGGUCAACAAAUAAAAUGACUUUCUUUUCUUAGUUGGUUUUUGUAUGCUAAAAAUAUUGAAAGAAUUUCUUAAAAUGAUCUCAUUUGAUAGGGAAAUAAGUGAGGUUAGGUGAAUCAAGAAAGGUUAACUUUUCCUUGCAGGAAUGCACCUUUGAAGGACGUGGCAUUCGGCUGCCAGCCAGUGGAGCAGAAUGGGAAUGGAAAAGUUGCAGGUGGUCGUCAAGGUGAUUCUAACAUCUACUGGAUUGUUUGACCUCAACCAGAUACAUCUGCCAAGCAUGGUGAUCCAAUUAAGAGCGGGACAGUUGUUAGGUUGCAACAUAUGAAGACACGAAAAUGGCUUCACAGCCACUUGCACGCAUCUCCAAUUUCAAGCAACGUUGAGCUGCUUUGGAGGGGAGGGCAACUCUGAUACUGGAGAUUUUUGGAAUCUUGAGAUUGAAGGUAAAGGUAAAAUCUGGAGGCAAGAUCAAAGGGUCUGACUUCAACACUUCGAUACAGGUGGUUAUUUGCAUAGUCACGACAAGAAAUACACCAGGAUAGCUGGAGGUCAGCAAGAGGUUUGUGGAGUUAGAGAGAAGCGACCUGAUAACUUAUGGUUGGCAGAAGAAGGGCCACUGGGUAAGCAUGUGUAGCUUACAGAAAUUUGUGAUAUGCAUUAGGUUAUGUGCUAUGAAUUAGGUACUUGGCCUGUAUAGAUAAAACAUGUGUGUCUUACAGAAAUUCAUAGUAUAAACCAAAACUUACAGAAAUUUGUAUCACACUCUGUAGCAGAUUUUGGUUCUGCCUCAAACAUGUGUGGUUGAUAACUUGAUGAUAUAUCAUUUUCUUUAAUGCAUUUCUGCAUCUUC